CCUGAUAUUGUCAUGUCCCUUCAAAACAUAAAAGAGAAAAGGUGAACAUCAAGACAGAAAAACAAACAGAGACAGGUUACAUUUUACUGAGUGGCCUCAACAUAAAAAUAGUACGAUGGAUAUGAAGCAAAAUGGAGGAUUUGAGCGGCUAUAUGAAGCAAGGAAGCCAACAGGCACUAGGGUUUCUGGACCUUUUGACAUCUGAGGAGAAAGAUUUAUUACCUGUUAGAAUGAAAGAAUGAGCAGGUGGAUGAGAGUGAGGGCCACUUAGCUAAAAAACAAUCGUCCUGAAAAUGGAGGGGGAAGAAGUUUUAAUGGAUUGAACAAUGUGGUAUAAGUUUGGAGAUUAAUCCCACAGUGAUGAAGGGAAAAUGAAUGACAUGAACUCGAAGGCAUAGAGGUACGAAGAGAAAUGAGUUGGGAGGGGCAUCUCUUCUAGUGUGUGGGUUAUGAGAAAGGAUUGAGAGUGAGUUUAUUUAUGCUAGAGUCAUAAUUAAGGGAAGAUCAUGAGAGGAGGAACGAGAAUCAG
rnacentral:lncRNA from 1 species